AUUGAACGCUGGCGGCAUGCCUUACACAUGCAAGUCGAACGGCAGCACGGGUGCUUGCACCUGGUGGCGAGUGGCGAACGGGUGAGUAAUACAUCGGAACAUGUCCUGUAGUGGGGGAUAGCCCGGCGAAAGCCGGAUUAAUACCGCAUACGAUCUACGGAUGAAAGCGGGGGACCUUCGGGCCUCGCGCUAUAGGGUUGGCCGAUGGCUGAUUAGCUAGUUGGUGGGGUAAAGGCCUACCAAGGCGACGAUCAGUAGCUGGUCUGAGAGGACGACCAGCCACACUGGGGCUGAGACACGGCCCAGACUCCUACGGGAGGCAGCAGUGGGGAAUUUUGGACAAUGGGCGAAAGCCUGAUCCAGCAAUGCCGCGUGUGUGAAGAAGGCCUUCGGGUGGUAAAGCACUUUUGUCCGGAAAGAAAUCCUUGGCCCUAAUACGGUCGGGGGAUGACGGUACCGGAAGAAUAAGCACCGGCUAACUACGUG
rnacentral:rRNA from 1 species